UACGAAGGGGGCUAGCGUUGUUCGGAAUCACUGGGCGUAAAGCGUAUGUAGGCGGAUCGUUAAGUCGGGGGUGAAAUCCCGAGGCUCAACCUCGGAACUGCCUUCGAUACUGGCGAUCUUCGAGUCCGGGAGAGGUGAGUGGAACUCCGAGUGUAGAGGUGAAAUUCGUAGAUAUUCGGAAGAACACCGGUGGCGAAGGCGGCGACCUGGUCCUUGACUGACGCUGAGGCGCGAAAGCGUGGGGAGCAAACAGG
rnacentral:rRNA from 1 species